rnacentral:misc_RNA from 1 species
AAGUCGUAACAAGGUUUCCGUAGGUGAACCUGCGGAAGGAUCAUUAAUGAAGUUUGGGUUUCAAACCCUCUCUCUUCUACACACUUGUGAACUUACACUGUUGCUUUGGCAGGUUUCCGGAUGGGUUUCAAACCCGGACGGUCAGGUCGAAAGGCGCCUGCCAAAGACAUUUAUCCACCCUUUUUUAUUGUCUGAUUUUGUUUUCAAACAAAUUAUAAAAAAC